GAUGAACGCUGGCGGCGUGCCUAAUACAUGCAAGUCGAGCGAACCAAAGAGAGCUUGCUCUCUGAGGUUAGCGGCGGACGGGUGAGUAACACGUGGGUAACCUGCCUGUAAGACGGGGAUAACUUCGGGAAACCGAAGCUAAUACCGGAUGAUAAAGAGAAACGCCUGUUUCUUUUUUGAAAGUCGGCCUUGUGCUGACGCUUACAGAUGGGCCCGCGGCGCAUUAGCUAGUUGGUGAGGUAACGGCUCACCAAGGCGACGAUGCGUAGCCGACCUGAGAGGGUGAUCGGCCACACUGGGACUGAGACACGGCCCAGACUCCUACGGGAGGCAGCAGUAGGGAAUCUUCGGCAAUGGACGAAAGUCUGACCGAGCAACGCCGCGUGAGCGAUGAAGGCCUUCGGGUCGUAGAGCUCUGUUGUCAGAGAAGAACAAGUACCGGAGUAACUGCCGGUACCUUGACGGUACCUGACCAGAAAGCCACGGCUAACUACGUGCCAGCCGCCGCAGUAACAC
rnacentral:rRNA from 1 species